rnacentral:rRNA from 1 species
AUGAACGCUGGCGGCGUGCCUAAUACAUGCAAGUCGAGCGAACAGAUAAGGAGCUUGCUCCUUUGACGUUAGCGACGGACGGGUGAGUAACACGUGGGUAACCUACCUAUAAGACUGGGAUAACUUCGGGAAACCGGAGCUAAUACCGGAUAACAUUUGGAACCGCAUGGUUCUAAAGUGAAAGAUGGUUUUGCUAUCACUUAUAGAUGGACCCGCGCCGUAUUAGCUAGUUGGUAAGGUAACGGCUUACCAAGGCAACGAUACGUAGCCGACCUGAGAGGGUGAUCGGCCACACUGGAACUGAGACACGGUCCAGACUCCUACGGGAGGCAGCAGUAGGGAAUCUUCCGCAAUGGGCGAAAGCCUGACGGAGCAACGCCGCGUGAGUGAUGAAGGGUUUCGGCUCGUAAAACUCUGUUAUUAGGGAAGAACAAACGUGUAAGUAACUGUGCACGUCUUGACGGUACCUAAUCAGAAAGCCACGGCUAACUACGUG